rnacentral:rRNA from 1 species
GUAGGGGGCAAGCGUUGUCCGGAUUUAUUGGGCGUAAAGAGCGUGUAGGCGGCUAGGUAGGUCCGUUGUGAAAACUCGAGGCUCAACCUCGAGCUGUCGAUGGAAACCAUCUGGCUAGAGUCCGGAAGAGGAGAGUGGAAUUCCUGGUGUAGCGGUGAAAUGCGCAGAUAUCAGGAAGAACACCCGUGGCGAAGGCGGCUCUCUGGUACGUGACUGACGCUGAGACGCGAAAGCGUGGGGAGCGAACAGGAUUAGAUACCCUGGUAGUCCACGCCGUAAACGAUGGGUGCUAGGUGUGGGCGGUGUCGACUCCGUCCGUGCCGAAGCUAACGCAUUAAGCACCCCGCCUGGGGAGUACGGCCGCAAGGCUAAA